GAAGACUGAUUUUGUAAAUUACAUAAAAUGUCUGAAUAUAUUUGAACUGGAAAGAUAAUACUAUUUAUUAAUGCUCCUUGUAUUGCUGAAUAUUUUAAACAUCUGUGAGUGUUUAGUAUCAUAUUGCGUUUUUAAACCUCGCUCAUCAUUGAUAGCUGACUGAAUGAUAAUGGCUCGCCAUUCUGCAAAAAAUAAAUUGGACUACAACGGAGUGCCACCUUCAUCUUCAUACCCGAUUCUCAUUAUGUGAUGGAUUGCACACAUAGAAACUCGUCGCUACAAGCGUCAUUCUUCCAAUUUCUCCACUGAAAAAGUACUGCUGGAUCCAGACUUGGUGUGAGGAAAGAACAUCAUCUAAAUCGCAUCACACCGUGCCAUGCCAUUUUUAGAUGAAUGAGGAAGAUAUCAUCAGCGAAGCCAAGUUGUCUGCAGUUGUUCUUGGAGCUUUUAACUAUAGGCAUUUGUGUUUACUGGAACUAUGGCAAUACAUCAUUUCUCAUAUAUAGAGUUACUUUUUCAGCUGUAGACAAAUAGCACAGAUAACAGCUGUCUGGAUUUCCAGAAAGCGUUUUCG